GUUGCUGUUGCUCAGUGGCAGAGCACUUGCUUAGCAUGCAUGAGGCCCUGGGUUUGAUUCCCAGCACCCCAAACA
rnacentral:tRNA from 1 species